rnacentral:rRNA from 1 species
UUCUGACCGUAAACGAUGCCAACUAGCGAUCCGCCGGUGGCUCUUUGGCCCUGGUGGGGAGCUUCCCGGAAACGAAAGUCUUCCGGUUCCGGGGGAAGUAUGGUUGCAAAGCUGAAACUUAAAGGAAUUGACGGAAGGGCACCACCAGGAGUGGAGCCUGCGGCUUAAUUUGACUCAACACGGGAAAACUCACCCGGCCCGGACACCGUGAGGAUUGACAGAUUGAUAGCUUUUUCAUGAUUCGGUGGUUGGUGGUGCAUGGCCGUUCUUAGUUCGUGGAUCGAUUUGUCUGGUUUAUUCCGAUAACGAGCGAGACUCCAGCCUACUAACUAGUGCUGGCAUUGCCUCUGUGCUCUGCACUUCUUAGAGGGAUUGGCUGCGUCUAGCGGCACGAAACGGAGCAAUAACAGGUCUGUGAUGCCCUUAGAUGUCCGGGGCUGCACGCGCGCUACACUGGCAAAAGCAGCGUGCUUGUCCGCCUCCGAAAGGAGCCGGUAAACCCUUGAAAAUUUGCCGUGAUUGGGAUCGGAAAUUGCAAUUAUUUUCCGUGAACGAGGAAUUCCUAGUAAGUGCGAGUCAUCAGCUCGCGUUGAUUACGUCCCUGCCCUUUGUACACACCGCCCGUCGCUGCCUAGAACUGAGCCAUUUCGAGAAUAUUCGGGAUCGCUGGUUGCGGGUCCUUCGGGGCACGCCUCCGGCAAGAGAACGAACGUAAUCGCAGUGGCUUGAACCGGGCAAAAGU